GAUUGAACGCUGGCGGCAUGCCUUACACAUGCAAGUCGAACGGCAGCAUGAUCUAGCUUGCUAGAUUGAUGGCGAGUGGCGAACGGGUGAGUAAUACAUCGGAACGUGCCCUGUAGUGGGGGAUAACUAGUCGAAAGAUUAGCUAAUACCGCAUACGACCUGAGGGUGAAAGUGGGGGACCGCAAGGCCUCAUGCUAUAGGAGCGGCCGAUGUCUGAUUAGCUAGUUGGUGAGGUAAAGGCUCACCAAGGCGACGAUCAGUAGCUGGUCUGAGAGGACGAUCAGCCACACUGGGACUGAGACACGGCCCAGACUCCUACGGGAGGCAGCAGUGGGGAAUUUUGGACAAUGGGGGCAACCCUGAUCCAGCAAUGCCGCGUGUGUGAAGAAGGCCUUCGGGUUGUAAAGCACUUUUGUCCGGAAAGAAAUCGCACUUACUAAUAUUAGGUGUGGAUGACGGUACCGGAAGAAUAAGGACCGGCUAACUACGUGCCAGCAGCCGCGGUAAUACGUAGGGUCCAAGCGUUAAUCGGAAUUACUGGGCGUAAAGCGUGCGCAGGCGGUUGUGCAAGACCGAUGUGAAAUCCCCGGGCUUAACCUGGGAAUUGCAUUGGUGACUGCACGGCUAGAGUGUGUCAGAGGGGGGGUAGAAUUUUCACGUGUAGCAGUGAAAUGCGUAGAGAUGUGGAGGAAUACCGAUGGCGAAAGGCAGCCCCCCUGGGAUAAACACUGACGGCUCAUGCACGAAGCGUGGGGAGCAAACAGGAUUUAGAUACCCUGGUAGUCCACGCCCUAAACGAUGUCAACUAGUUGUUGGGGAUUCAUUUCCUUAGUAACGUAGCUAACGCGUGAAGUUGACCGCCUGGGGAGUACGGUCGCAAGAUUUAAAACUCAAAGGAAUUGACGGGGACCCGCACAAGCGGUGGAUGAUGUGGAUUAAUUCGAUGCAACGCGAAAAACCUUACCUACCCUUGACAUGCCACUAACGAAGCAGAGAUGCAUUAGGUGCUCGAAAGAGAAAGUGGACACAGGUGCUGCAUGGCUGUCGUCAGCUCGUGUCGUGAGAUGUUGGGUUAAGUCCCGCAACGAGCGCAACCCUUGUCUCUAGUUGCUACGAAAGGGCACUCUAGAGAGACUGCCGGUGACAAACCGGAGGAAGGUGGGGAUGACGUCAAGUCCUCAUGGCCCUUAUGGGUAGGGCUUCACACGUCAUACAAUGGUGCAUACAGAGGGUUGCCAAGCCGCGAGGUGGAGCUAAUCCCAGAAAAUGCAUCGUAGUCCGGAUCGUAGUCUGCAACUCGACUACGUGAAGCUGGAAUCGCUAGUAAUCGCGGAUCAGCAUGCCGCGGUGAAUACGUUCCCGGGUCUUGUACACACCGCC
rnacentral:rRNA from 1 species